AUCCUACUGACGAGUCCCAAACAGGACGAAACGCGCGUCCUGGAU
rnacentral:hammerhead_ribozyme from 1 species